rnacentral:rRNA from 1 species
UAGUUUGACUCAGUGCUACAGAACGAACGCUGGCGGCAGGCUUAACACAUGCAAGUCGAACGGUUGUAGCAAUACAGCAGUGGCGCACGGGUGAGUAACGCGUGGAUAUCUGCCUUUUGGUUCGGAAUAACUCCGGGAAACUGGAGCUAAUACCGGAUGGUUCCUGCGGGAUAAAGAUUUAUCGCCAAAAGAUGAGUCCGCGUACGAUUAGCUAGUUGGUGAGGUAAUGGCUCACCAAGGCGACGAUCGUUAGCUGGUCUGAGAGGACGAUCAGCCACACUGGGACUGAGACACGGCCCAGACUCCUACGGGAGGCAGCAGUGGGGAAUAUUGGACAAUGGGGGCAACCCUGAUCCAGCCAUGCCGCGUGAGUGAUGAAGGCCUUCGGGUUGUAAAGCUCUUUUGGCGGGGACGAUGAUGACGGUACCCGCAGAAUAAGCCCCGGCUAACUUCGUG